AAUCAACGCUGGCGGCGUGCCUCAGACAUGCAAGUCGAACGCGAAAGUCCCUUCGGGGGCAAGUAGAGUGGCGCACGGGUGAGUAACACGUAGGUAAUCUACCUUUGGAUGGGGAAUAACAACCGGAAACGGUUGCUAAUACCGCAUAAUGCAGCGGCACCUAAUGGUGACAGUUGUUAAAGCGGGGGAUCGAAAGACCUCGCGUCUGAAGAGGAGCCUGCGGCGGAUUAGCUAGUUGGUAAGGUAACGGCUUACCAAGGCAACGAUCCGUAGCCGGCCUCGAGAGGGCGGUCGGCCACACUGGACACUGACAUACGGGUCAGACUCCUACGGGAGGCAGCAGUCGGGAAUUUUGGGCAAUGGGCGAAAGCCUGACCCAGCAACGCCGCGUGAA
rnacentral:rRNA from 1 species